UGGGGAAUAUUGGACAAUGGGGGCAACCCUGAUCCAGCCAUGCCGCGUGAGUGAUGAAGGCCUUCGGGUUGUAAAGCUCUUUUGGCGGGGACGAUGAUGACGGUACCCGCAGAAUAAGCCCCGGCUAACUUCGUGCCAGCAGCCGCGGUAAGACGAAGGGGGCUAGCGUUGUUCGGAAUUACUGGGCGUAAAGCGAGUGUAGGCGGUUGCCGUAGUCAGGUGUGAAAGCCUUGAGCUCAACUCAAGAAAUGCACUUGAUACUGGGUGACUAGAGGACCGGAGAGGAUAGUGGAAUUCCCAGUGUAGUGGUGAAAUACGUAGAGAUUGGGAAGAACACCAGUGGCGAAGGCGGCUAUCUGGACGGUUACUGACGCUAAGACUCGAAAGCGUGGGGAGCAAACAGGAUUAGAUACCCUGGUAGUCCACGCCGUAAACGAUGGGUGCUAGACGUUGGCGAGCUUGCUCGUCAGUGUCGCAGCUAACGCGUUAAGCACCCCGCCUGGGGAGUACGGCCGCAAGGUUGAAANUCAAAAUGAAUUGACGGGGUCAUAGCUGUUUCCU
rnacentral:rRNA from 1 species